rnacentral:lncRNA from 1 species
CAACUAUGUUACAUGGUGUUUGGUCCUAUGGCUUCUUUGUGUCCUGGCUCGUGUUCCCUCGUGUCAAUCCUGGUGGUCCAGGGACUCAAACAGCAGCCUUUGAGCCAUGGUUUUGCCUCCUCGUCUACCAGGCUCCUGCAACCACCACGGUAAAUCGAGUCACCUUGAAGCAUCGCUGGAGGCCCCAAGCCUGCAGGGGCUCUCGUUAGGAGCUGCAGUGAGGAAUCCACAUCAGCCGUCUUCUCCGUCAAAAGCGACCUCUCCUGCUGACUCCAUCCUCCUUCGUACCCAUUCCCCGAGUGCCCUGAGUUAUCACUGUAUGCAAGCGGUAUGGGGAGCAAUCCAACACCGGCCUCUGCUCCUGCUCAUUCUAGUGGAACUAAGAGGGACCAAUGAAGACUCGCUCUACUUCACAAUGGUCUGUACACCUCCUCAGAAGAGCUGAGACACUCAUUGUGAGUGUCUCUGGCCCUCUCACUACACAGCGACGGAUGCUUCAUCUGCAGUGCGAGUUGUGAAAGUCUUGGGAGUCGCUGUUAGGAGGAGCAGUUAAUUUGAUAUAGGGCAGCUCGUGUCAUCUCAGUUUGCUUUAGUACGCGACACCGAGCUCAGUCUUCAGGGUGCAAAAUGGUGCUGGUUUUCUUUCCUACCAGCUAGUUAAUUGCAGUUAAUUGCAUCCACCUCGCAUCCCAUAUGUGCCUCAUUAGGAGGCUAGGGGGAAAGAAAUCCAGGCUUUGGAAACCACUGUGUUAUGUGAAGUGACAUAAAGAAGCCACUGGCAGCCAUAUUGGAUGUCCUCAGUGCUCGGGCAGCUGUGAAUGAUAUUUCAUUGUGAUUUUAAAGUGGAUUUUAGCUAAAUAGGACUGCGGACAAAGCCGCAUUUCAGGGAGAGUAAUCGCUCAUGAUGAUCAGACUUUACACUUUUUGCUUGAAUCCACCAACAUCAACUAAAGCAACCUUUUUUUUUUAUCUCUGUUUGUUUACACUGUUUGCACACAAUCAUCCAAUGCACCUCCAUCUUGGCACCAGAUGUGGUUUUUCUUGAAGAUUCACUUAUGCUUUUUUGUCACAUCCUCCACUGUGUCCUUCUGAUCUGCGGUGUUUCCCAUUAUGUUCUGCUCGGUGCUGCUCUGCUCUCCUCUGAUACUCCAUGGUCUUGUGUGUGUUUCUUUCAAAAUCAUGUUGUGCUCCACUCCUCACUCCAUUCAGUCAUCUGCAUUUACAACUGUGCGUCGAGUAUUUCUCUUUCAGUACUGUAAGAGGAGGAAAAUAAACAACGCCAACAACCUUCAGCACAAC